rnacentral:rRNA from 1 species
GAUCGAACGGCGUGGCGGCGCAUUUAAGACAUGCAAGUCGAACGGAAAACUUUUUACCGAAUUAGAUAUGACGAUUUAUCUGAAUUGAAAUUCACCAAAAAAGUUUUAGUGGCGGACGGGUGAGUAACGCGUAAGCAAUCUGCCUAUCAGAGGGGAAUAACAGUGAGAAAUCACUGCUAAUACCGCAUAAGCUGUGAGUAUCGCAUGAUACAAGCAGAAAAGGAGCAAUCCGCUGAUAGAUGAGCUUGCGUCUGAUUAGUUAGUUGGUAGGGUAACGGCCUACCAAGACGAUGAUCAGUAGCCGGACUGAGAGGUUGAACGGCCACAUUGGGACUGAGAUACGGCCCAG